rnacentral:rRNA from 1 species
AGAUUGAACGCUGGCGGCAUGCCUUACACAUGCAAGUCGAACGGCAGCACGGGAGCAAUCCUGGUGGCGAGUGGCGAACGGGUGAGUAAUACAUCGGAACGUGCCCAGUAGUGGGGGAUAACCCGGCGAAAGCCGGACUAAUACCGCGUACGACCUACGGGUGAAAGCGGGGGACUCGCAAGGGCCUUGCGCUAUUGGAGCGGCCGAUGGCAGAUUAGCUAGUUGGUGGGGUAAAGGCCUACCAAGGCGACGAUCUGUAGCUGGUCUGAGAGGACGACCAGCCACACUGGGACUGAGACACGGCCCAGACUCCUACGGGAGGCAGCAGUGGGAAUUUGGACAAUGGGCGCAAGCCUGAUCCAGCCAUGCCGCGUGCGGGAAGAAGGCCUUCGGGUUGUAAACCGCGUUUGUCUAGGAAGAAAAGCGUACGGCUAAUAGUUACUAGGAGUCAUGACGGUACCGUAGAAGAAUAAGCACCGG